rnacentral:rRNA from 1 species
GGAAAAGAAACUAACCAGGAUUCCCUCAGUAACGGCGAGUGAAGCGGGAAAAGCUCAACAUGAAAACCUGGGAGCCUCGCUCUCCGGAUUGUAUUCUCUAGAGGCGUGUUCAGUGGCCGCUCGCGUAUAAAUCCUUUGGAAAAGGGUGUCAUAGAGGGUGAGAUCCCCGUAUGUGACGCGAUGUGGGCUGCGUUACGACGCGUUUUCGGCGAGUCGGGUUGCUUGAGAUCGCAGCCCUAAUUGGGUGGUAAACUCCAUCUAAAGCUAAAUACUGACAAGAGACCGAUAGCAAACAAGUACUGUGAAGGAAAGAUGCAAAGAACUUUGAAAAGAGAGUUAAAAGUACCUGAAACCGCUAAGGGGGAAGCAAAGGCCGCCAGUACGCGCCAGGAAGUCUCCAGCGUCGGCUCUGCCGGCGUGUAUCGAGUUCCGAGCGGGUUCACGUGGGCGUGGCGCGCGGGAUGGGCGGGGGGUGCUGACCAAGCCCCCCUGGCUACCGUGUGCCGUGCCGAGGCCUUUCCCCGCAAGGGUGAGGACGUGGACGAAAUGGCGAUCUCUGACCCGUCUUGUAACACGGACCAAGGAGUCUAACAUGCCUGCGAGUGCAAGGGUGGCAAGCCCACGCGCGUAAUGAAAGUAAAGGCACCUGGUGCCGAGAUGGGAAUCGCAAGAUGCACCAUCGCCCGACCAUGCGCUUCUGCAAACGGUUUGAGGAAGAGCAGGUAUGCUAGGACCCGAAAGAUGGUGAACUAUGCCUGAGUAGGGUGAAG